AGGAAGUGUCCCUUUUUUCCCCUUCCUCCUCCAGCGGCACCACGUGAGCCACCGGCAAGAGAGGGUGCCAGCGGAAGGCAUCCUCUAUAAGAUAAGUAUUAUGAAAUAUAUAGGUUUAUGAUAAUUAAGACUGAGCUAAUAGAUGAGGAAUCCUAGUCAUUGGCCAAGCAGCAAUUGAACCUAAUACAAGUUUCUGUGUAUUCAUUUGGGCCCUAACUCGGGCGGGCAGCUGUCUUAAAGCGCACUCAUGGUGGUGGGACUCGGGUGGCCUUUGGUGGAAAGAUUUAUCCUAACAGAUAUCAGCCAGACUCACAGUGUUGAGAGAAGAGUACAUAUGAUUUAGGUGUUGUCUAUUGUUGCAAUGAAACACUGACCAAAAGUGACUUGUGAAGGAAAGCAUAUAAUUGUCUUACACUUCUCAAUCACAUUCCAUCGUUAAGGAAAACGCAAGGUAGGAACUCAAGCCUGAACCUGGAGAUAGAAACUGAAGCAAGGACCAUGAGGAAUGCUGCUUACUGGCUUGCUCUCCAUAGAUUGCUUAGCCUGCUUUCUUAUACACCUUCCCAGGAGUAGUAUCACACACAGUGGACUGGGCCCUCCCAUUUCUACCAUAAAUAAGAAAGUGUUCCACAGAUAUGCUCAUAGGCCUAUCUGAUAGAGGCAGUUCCUCAAUUGAGGUUCCUUCUUCACAGGUGACCCUAAUUUGUGUCAAAUUGACAAAAACUAACUAGCACAAUGACAUUGUAUAGUGAGCAGGCUCUCUGGAAGCCACCAGGGUAGUUGAACUGUUAGCUAUACAAUCACUGUUCAACCUUGACUUGCCAAAUGCAAUCUCAACCUUCCUCAAAGAGGAAGAAACAACUGUGACCCCAAUCUGUGAGCAUCCAGCAGAGAAGAGGCCAAACUGGUAACCAUUCUCACCUCCCCUGAACUUAAUAGUGAUAUGUAUUUAUUCAGCAAAAAGAUGAUAAAGCACAAUAUGUUGUGCACUUUUCCGUGUGUUUGGUGAAUUAACCAUUUAAUCACCUAGUCAAGUGGCAAGGAAGGAAAUGUCCCUAUAAUAGAUAUAAAAUAAAUAGAAGUUGCAAAGGUUGAGUGACUCUCUCACCCAGAUGUCUAGAGAUGAAAUCAGGAUUCAAGCCCAGGCUGUGUUCUCUAGUUCAGAGUCUGCACACAAGUCCUACACAUUAUACUAUGUCCUGAUGAGUAGAGGAACUCCAGAACCAAACAGACCCUGGACAUCACAUAUUGUAAACCCUUCUUUUCAUUAUUGUUUUGUUUUGUUUUGGAGUCAGGGUUUCCCUGUGCAGCUCUUGAAGUCCUAGAACUCACUCUGUAGACCAGGCUGGCCUCCAACUCAGAGAUCCACCUGCCUCUGCCUCCCAAGGGCUGCGGUUAAAGUCAUGUACCACCACCACCCAACUAAACCCUUCAUUUAGAGAUGGUAACUAAGGGUCCAGAAGGGAAGUCAUUCCAACCCAAAGUGUGCAGUAAUUGGGACAUAUGAACCCAGGCCUCUGACUCCCAGCACAGCUCCAAAUCACACCUCACUAGGACAACACCAUAGUCUUUGAAUCUAUGACUGGGCUAAGAUAUUUGUCCUGCAGUUUCUAUGAGAUGACCCUCAAAGAUCCCAGUCCUUAAGACCCAUGUGCAAGAACGGAGCAGUCUCUGUGCUGAUGGAAAAAUCAGACGAGACAGGUCAGCAGCAGACAAACCAAGCUGAGACAAGUGCUUUCUGGACAAACACCAACCCCUAUUUUGCUCUGACAAUGGAGCAAUUUCUUUCAGAGAGAACUAAAUCAUACUUGUCUUAAAGAACCUAAUGCAGAACGACAGAGGAAGGUGGAUUCUCCAAAACCCAUUCCAUUGACCCAGGAAAGGCACUUUCCACCAGGAUCAGUGCCAGGUUGGGCCCUCCAAUGCCCCUUCCCACUAGUUCUCCCCACCCCAGUGUCAGCUUCCCCACAGCCAACCCUUCCAUCAGAAGCCCACCCAACUCUCUGAGCAGCUCUGUUGCAUCCUCCACCUCUGCUGCUGUGUACCUUCUUUGAGUUCCUGUGGUUAUAAAUAAAUGAUGUCUAGAUUGAUUGGAGGAUUGGCUUUCCCUCCCGCACCAACCCUGACCUCCCAUUUCUGAAAUCUUGCUGCCCACUAGCACCACUCAAGUUUCGCUUGACACUGGGACAUUAGUGGAAAGAGUUCCCACCUGGGAAUGUAAGACCACUAAACCUGGAGUCCGGAAAGGGGGUUCAAAUCUUGGAUUUGCUACAGAUUCUGCAUCCUGGAGUAAGGCAGUCAAUUCUCUAAAGCCUCAGAAAAUGGGAUGUGAGCUGCUGAGUACUAAUUUUUUUAGAGACCUUUGUGAGAAGUAAAUAAGAUGGGUGUGAAAAGACUGUGAACUGCAGUGCCCAGUGCAGCCCACACAGCUAUUCCACAGUGCACGUGGCCCAAGGAAAAUCCUGGUGAUUCCUCGUCCUUCACUUUCCGCUUCCACGUUAGGGACAGUCACACCUGUUCUUCUCCCUUAUUUCCUGAUGCUGUUCUGGUAGGGAGACAAAAAUGGCAUAUACAUAAGGAUAAUGUUGAACAGUAUAAUCUCUCUCUAAUAUUAUAUUUCUAAAGAUUUAUUUAUUAUGUAUACAGUGUUCUACCUGCAUGUCUCCCGCAGGCCAGAAAAGGGCACCAAAUCUCAUUGCAGAUGGUUGGGAGCCAUCAGGUGGUUGCUGAGAAUUGAACUCAGGACCUCUGGAAGAGCAGCUAGUGCUCUGGACCUCUGAGCCAUCUCUCCAGUCAUAUUACAUGUUUUUUAAAUGAUGCUGAAUCAGAAAUUUAUUCUACAAAAACACCAGGGAAGAGAUGAGAGUCAUGGUGCUAGUAGCAGAUGCUUGGACUAUUUGUGUUUUUACGUGAACCCUUUUCUUUCUACAGUGACAAUGCAUUGAUAAUUAACAUGGUGAAGGAGAAAAUAAAAUAUUUUUAUUAAGCUUUUUUUUUUUAAGUUGUUGAAACAUGUUGUUCGCAAAUCGCUCAGACUGUUGGCUGCAUGAGGGAGUGGGGAGGGUUGACCAUAAAAACAGCCAGUCCAGGAGCUACAGAGGUACCUGCUUGUGACCCAUUACAGAGGUACCUAUUUGUGAUGUCAUGACAGAGCUAGAGGGAACUCAGAAACUCCUACUCACCCUCAUUCCCCCAAGUCCCAUUUUCAAGACAGAAAUUCUAAAAUCAAAAUAGGGGGAAAGAUUUAUAUGAGAUGCCAGGCAUUUUAGUUCCUGAUAACAUAAUAGUUCUCUGUGUCUUCUCUGAUGUGGUACAAAUAAAUCUUGUCUGAACAUCAGAGAGAAGGAGCAAGCCACUGCCACACCUUACCUCCUUAGCAUCUCUACAGACAAGAGAGCAAGUUCGUUUCUCCCUGCUUGGGUCCUGUUUCCGCCCAGCUACCUCACUUCCUGUCUAUCUGUACAAACUUCCAGAUCUCUAUGGUCAGCUAGUGGCGAUCUCCAUUCUCUGACCUUCACGGUUCUUCAGACAGGCUUUCUUUGUGCAAGCAAGAUAUCACCACAUUCUGGGGUCUGAUCUGUCUGACCCAAUCACCACUGCCCUCACCACCUACCAUUACUCUCACCACCAAAGUCGGUGCCUUUCUGCUCAUUGACUAGUAGUGAUCUGAAUUCCCAGUUCUCUGUUCAACACAUUGGUGAAGAAAUCAGAUUCAAUGAAUCUUGUUCUACCAUGCCUCUGUUCAGAAAAUAAGGUCAUUGCACAUCCAGUGGCUGAGGAACAAAAACCAUAGAAUUGGAGCUUAAGGAAAUAGCUUCAUCUCUCAAGGAAGACGACUGAGCACAGGGGCCAUGUGUAGCUUACACGUUACACAGCUAGCUUGUGGAAUUGCAACAUCAUAAACCCAGUUCUUUUUAUUUCUGUUCAGUGUUCUUUUCCAUUAUAUUGUAAAACUCACCCAGGUGAAUGAAUGAAACACAAGUAAAUAAAGUAUUGUAAUUCGGUAACUGUUACAGACUGAAAUUUCCAAAGCAUUUAGAACUAUGUCUUCAUAUACAAACAAUGGCUAAGGGGUACAAAGAUAUAAUUCACAGGAGAAAUAGAAGUAGCCAACAAAAAAAUUUUCUUUUCUAAGACAUGCUUCAUGUAAAGAAAAUUCAAUCCCUAAGAUAUGACUGGGCAGGGAAAUGUGAGAUGCCUCCAUGUCUUAACAUUAUAGAUCUCUGUAUUUUUAAAUUUAUUAUUAUAAAUAUAUUGGAAUUUUCAAAAAUCUUAAGAUAAAAAUA
ensembl:lncRNA